UUCUCCCGACUUCUUCUCUUUCCCUCUUUCUACCCCUCGUCUUCUCCUAGGAAGGGAGGAGGGCGAGCUCGAGAGGGGGCCGGCCCGAGGCCAGCGGCGCCGCGGUCAAGGAUCCACCGGGAUCCUGUUACACUGAAGGAAAAAGGGGGCCUGAGGCCGACGACUCAUCCCAUGGAUCGGGAGGUAGGGUUCUAGGGUUAGGGUUUGAUUGAAAGGGGGAAGAAGUGAUCGGGUGAAAGAACAGGAUCUACGGCAUGGGCCGGCUGUGGUCAGUGACGGAUCAAGCCGGUGUCGGAUCAACGGCCGACCCCAAGCAUGAAUAAUGAAGAGAGAAAGGGAUCAAGGGCUUACGUAGCCCCGAGGAAGAGAUGGAGAGCUUCCUCCGGCAGCCUGGCCCGCUUCCUCCGGCGGCUUGACAGUGGAUCUGAGGAGCUCCGCAAGAGGCAGUGAGGAGGGAAAGAUGCCUCGGUGAAGAACUCCUUCGGCUUUUAUAGCCUGCUUUGGGGAGAGUGGGAGGGAGAUUGGAUGUAUCCACGGCUGUUAGCGGUUAUAACCGGCUCAACAGCUGGCGAUCGCAGUCUCCUCCUCCUAUCCGAAGAUUCCCGGUUUGGAUCUCCAGAUGGGCCGCCGACUAUGGUCCACGUCGGCCCAUUGGGGCCCAAUAGUUACAAAUUAACUCAAAUUAAUAAAAAGGGAGUGAAGAGGAGAUACAUGUCUUGCUUGAUGUUUGCAUUAGGAACUCAGGCUUUAUUUAUUCCCAAAUAGUAGCACGCCACAAAUUUGCAAUUCACCUUAUGUGUAUGUAAAUAAGUGCAAAAAUAAGCCUCAAUUCAACUCCCAAAAAAUGUAAAACCUAAUUGACGGUGAUAUGGAUCGUCAGUUGACUGAUAGAGAUAUACAACUGAAAGAAGACAUGGAAAUGUAAAUUGCACCUCUGGGGCCUGCAGAACAAGUUUGAGCCAGUCAAAAUCCCUUUCUGUUGGCGGAAGAUUUGAUGUUAAAACGCCUACAGGAGGGAGUGGUCAUCUUAGUAGGAAUACUACCAUCACUGUCUUUCCGUUCUCGACUUUGAUUCCCUCUUGCUUUCACCUCUACAAAUGAUCAACGCGGCUUACCUCAUCAUAUAACCUGAAGUAUAUGUCCCUUCAGGUCACAGCAUGGGUCCAUUUGAAUGAACUGGUUCAUGUUAAGGGAGAAAAUUGUAUGAGUCGUCUAAUACUGUUGCAGAAAAGAGUUACGCCAUGUUAUUAGGCGGACAUGGAGAUGGCUCGAUUAAAGAAGAGUUGGGAGCUGUCUCUGCACGAGGGAAGUAUGGUUUUGGAUUCUCAUCGCAUCAUAUCUAUGAGGUGGUCCUGUAAGGAUCCAUGGAAUCCUGCCGAUCAACCAAGCAGGCGUGCUCUUAUCGUUUCAUGAUGAACAGAUUUACACUCUUUCUGGAGGGGGGUUUUCAGUUGUGGCUGGAUCCGACGCAAGCAUUGCUUGAAUGCAAGGUUUCAUGGCAGAUUGAUGUGAUAUUGGGCUGAUUGGGCCAACGUUCAGGCUUAUGUAAUGGUUAGCCUACUGGUCAGCUGUUGUGCCUCCUCUAUACCGUUGCAAAACAUCAACGGGCAAAUUGAUUUUAGUGGAGACAUUUUUAACUUGUAAUACCUACAAAUUGGUCUGUUAUGAGGAGUAAUUAUUCAUUUAUAAUGCUUAGAAAUCUGUCUCAAUCUACAUGUCUGAAUUUGAUCACUCAAUCAACGUGAAAAUUUAUCUUAGAUUUUUAA